rnacentral:rRNA from 1 species
UACGUAGGGGGCAAGCGUUGUCCGGAAUCAUUGGGCGUAAAGAGCGUGUAGGCGGUCCGGUAAGUCGGCUGUGAAAGUCCAGGGCUCAACCCUGGGAUGCCGGUCGAUACUGCCGGACUAGAGUUCGGAAGAGGCGAGUGGAAUUCCCGGUGUAGCGGUGAAAUGCGCAGAUAUCAGGAGGAACACCGGUGGCGAAGGCGGAUCUCUGGGCCUGUUCUGACGCUGAGGCGCGAAAGCUAGGGGAGCGAACAGG